rnacentral:rRNA from 1 species
AUUGAACGCUGGCGGCAGGCCUAACACAUGCAAGUCGAGCGGAGCGGCGGACGGGCGGGUAAUUACUAGCAAGCUGCCUGGUAGAGGGGGAGAACGACCGGAAACGGGCGGUAAUACCGCAUACUAUCAAAUGGCCCUACGUCGGAGUAGUUAGGUGGUGGGGGAAAGGCCUACCAAGGCGGCGAUCCGUAACUGGUCUGAGAGGAUGAUCAAUCACACUGGAACUGAGACACGGUCCAGACUCCUACGGGAGGCAGCAGUGGGGAAUAUUGGACAAUGGGCUAAAGCCUGAUCCAGCCAUGCCGCGUGUGUGAAGAAGGUCUUCGGAUUGUAAAGCACUUUAAGUUGGGAGGCGUUACCAACAGAAUAAGCACCGGCUAACUUCGUGCCAGCCGCCGCGGUAAUAC